AGAGAGAGUUCCAUUGGUUCACCCUCCAAUGGCCACCACAGCUGGCGUGCUGUGGCAGGCGCCUCAUGCUGAUCUGAGGCCAGGAGCCAGGUGCUUCUCCUGGUCUCCCAUGGGGUGCAGGGCCCAAGGACUCGGGCCAUCCUCCACUGCACUCCCUGGCCACAGCAGAGAGCUGGCCUGGAAGAGGGGCAACCGGGACAGAAUCCGGCGUCCCAACCGGGACUAGAACCCGGUGUGCUGGCACCACAAGGGGGAGGAUUAGCCUAUUGAGCCACGGCGCCGGCCUCUAGAUGGCUUUUAAUAAUUCCUUCCUGUCCAUUGGGUCCUUCAUCUUUUCACGCAAAGCACGAUAUGUCAUUUAUAUAAUGCUCAUUAGACCAUUUUUUUCUACUCCUCUUGUGUAACUGGGAACACUGAUUUGGACAAAAUACGGUAACAUCACAAUGUCCUAAACAGAGAGAAGCUAGAGUCUGGGUGUGUACAGCUCUGGAUUUUGCUCUUGCCUGGACUCGUGAUUCUCAGACUUCUUCAGGAGGUGGAAUGGCUAAACAAGCUGUAGUAAAUUCACACCAUGGGAUACUACUUAAUAAACCAACCAAAAGGAGUUGUUGAUAUAAGCAACAACUUGGAUGGGUCUCAAGUGAUGAGUGAGAAAUGUCAGUCUCAAAAGGUUCACGCUCUCUGCUAUGGCCUGCGAAAGCAGCAGAGGAUGGCCCAAAUGCUUGGGCCCCUGCACCAUGUUGGAGACUGGGAAGAAGCACCUGGCUCCUGGCUUUGGAUCUUAGCAGCUGCAGCAUUGUGGCCAUUUGGGGAGUGAACCAGCAGAAAGAAGACCUUUCUCUCUGUCUCUCCCUCUCACUGUCUGUAACUCUACCUCUAAAAUAAAAUAAAAAUA